rnacentral:piRNA from 1 species
UUGGAUUCCCAGGAGCAGACAAGGAACUCU